GAUGAACGCUAGCGGGAGGCCUAACACAUGCAAGCCGAGCGGUAGAAGAUCUUCGGAUCUUUGAGAGCGGCGUACGGGUGCGGAACACGUAUGCAACCUGCCUUUAUCAGGGGGAUAGCCUUUCGAAAGGAAGAUUAAUACCCCAUAAUAUAAUGAGUGGCAUCACUUAUUAUUGAAAACUCCGGUGGAUAGAGAUGGGCACGCGCAAGAUUAGAUAGUUGGUAGGGUAACGGCCUACCAAGUCAGUGAUCUUUAGGGGGCCUGAGAGGGUGAUCCCCCACACUGGUACUGAGACACGGACCAGACUCCUACGGGAGGCAGCAGUGAGGAAUAUUGGACAAUGGGUGAGAGCCUGAUCCAGCCAUCCCGCGUGAAGGACGACGGCCCUAUGGGUUGUAAACUUCUUUUGUAUAGGGAUAAACCUUUCCACGUGUGGAAAGCUGAAGGUACUAUACGAAUAAGCACCGGCUAACUCCGUGCCAGCAGCCGCGGUAAUACGGAGGGUGCAAGCGUUAUCCGGAUUUAUUGGGUUUAAAGGGUCCGUAGGCGGAUCUGUAAGUCAGUGGUGAAAUCUCAUAGCUUAACUAUGAAACUGCCAUUGAUACUGCAGGUCUUGAGUAAAGUAGAAGUGGCUGGAAUAAGUAGUGUAGCGGUGAAAUGCAUAGAUAUUACUUAGAACACCAAUUGCGAAGGCAGGUCACUAUGUUUUAACUGACGCUGAUGGACGAAAGCGUGGGGAGCGAACAGGAUUAGAUACCCUGGUAGUCCACGCCGUAAACGAUGCUAACUCGUUUUUGGGUUUUCGGAUUCAGAGACUAAGCGAAAGUGAUAAGUUAGCCACCUGGGGAGUACGUUCGCAAGAAUGAAACCCAAAGGAAUUGACGGGGGCCCGCACAAGCGGUGGAUUAUGUGGUUUAAUUCGAUGAUACGCGAGGAACCUUACCAAGGCUUAAAUGGGAAUUGACAGGUUUAGAAAUAGACUUUUCUUCGGACAAUUUUCAAGGUGCUGCAUGGUUGUCGUCAGCUCGUGCCGUGAGGUGUUAGGUUAAGUCCUGCAACGAGCGCAACCCCUGUCACUAGUUGCCAUCAUUCAGUUGGGGACUCUAGUGAGACUGCCUACGCAAGUAGAGAGGAAGGUGGGGAUGACGUCAAAUCAUCACGGCCCUUACGCCUUGGGCCACACACGUAAUACAAUGGCCGGUACAGAGGGCAGCUACCUAGCGAUAGGAUGCGAAUCUCGAAAGCCGGUCUCAGUUCGGAUUGGAGUCUGCAACUCGACUCUAUGAAGCUGGAAUCGCUAGUAAUCGCGCAUCAGCCAUGGCGCGGUGAAUACGUUCCCGGGCCU
rnacentral:rRNA from 1 species